ensembl:lncRNA
AAGCAUAUUUAUCCAAAUGUAUCAAAGGGCUCAGAAAAACACAAGCAAGAUCCAGGCUCAAAUUUAGAGGAGGGCAGAUAGGAUUUCAAAUAACAGCUCUGCUUCCCUGGCUAGGUGCUGUCUUUUUUUGUUUGUUUUUGCUGUACAGGAUCCUCGUUGCUGCACUGGCUCCUCUUUAGUUGCGGUGCAGGGGCUUCUCAUUGUGAUGGAGCAGAGGCUCUAGGGCAUGCAGGCUUCAGUAAUUGUGGCCCACGGGCUCUAGAACACAGGCUCAGUCGUCGUGGCCCAGGGGCUUUGCUUCUCAGCAUGUGGGGUCUUCCCAGACCAGGGAUCAAACCCUUGUCUCCUGCAUUGGUGGGUGGAUUCUUAUCCACCCAGCCACCAGGGAAGCGCCGAUGCCAACUGUCUUGAAAGCAUUGAUCCUGGAUCCCAGACUGAAGCAGGUGAUGCUGAAACUCCUGAAGGAAUCGUGUCAUCUUGAGCUGCUCAAGUUUAUUUCCACUAAAAAUACACCCUGAAACUGGGGCACAAUGAAGGAUUUCUGACAAAUGGGGAAGAGGAAUAAAUAAAAACUCUGGGGCCUUCUGAUUCUUCACUGAGUCACCUCCAAAUACUCACCAGUGAGCUGAGCUUGGACUCUCUCCACUCGUCGCUGUCAUCAGUAAAAGCUCAGGCAGUCCGUGUGGUCUGGGAGCUUAAAAGUCUCGAAGCUUGUGAGUCAUUGUUAGGAGAGGCCCCUGAUGGAACUGAACCCUGCAUCUACCAGGGAGGAAACAGAAGAACUAGAGGGGAAGUGACUUGGUCCUGCACCAUUCGGAUGAGUGUGCUGGAGAGGGACUUAGAGCCUGCACCCGGCCUCCUCACUUCACCACCCCAACUCCCCAGUCUUCCCAAGCCCCCCGCCUGCACCCAGCACCUGUGUCUGCCGUUCCUGUGGCACAUCUUAAGGCAGCCUAGGCAUGCCAGGGGGCGGUCAAUGAGAGAAUCCUCAGUUAGCAAUAAAGAAUGCUUUCAGCUUCAGGUUACAGAAAACCAGAUCAAUGGCAGCUCAACUGUAAGGACAUUAGUGUUGACUCAUUGAGACUAGGGAGGGAGGUAGCCCCAGGCUGAGACCACUGACUCAGCCAUGUCAAGAAGGAUCCAAGUUCCCCACUCUGCCAUUCUGGGGAUUUUAACUCUUUACCCUCAAGCUUAUUGCCUCAUAUCACAAAAUGGUUGCCACGGCUCUGGAUAUCAAGUCCUUAUAAAUAGUAUGCAAAGCUAAAAGGAGUUACCUAAAAAAAAAAAAGUUUCCUUCUCUGCCUUCUCCUUGGGUAGCUCUCUCUCUUCUGUGCAUACGUAUGUGCCCAGUCAAAUCCAACUCUUUGUGACCCCAUGAACUAUAGCCCCCCAGGCUCCUCUAUCCAUGGGAUUUUUCAGGCAAGAAUACUGGAGUGGGUUGCCAUUCCUCUGCCAGGGGAUUUUCCCAACCCAGGGAUCAAAUUCAAGUCUCCUGCACUGGCAGGCAGAUUCUUUACCACUGAGCCACCUGGGAAGCCCCUCUCCUAUGCAGGAAGGAAAAUGUUACUUACACUUCAUUGACCAGAAUUAGGUCCUACACCAACCAUUGGCAAAGGGAAAUGACAUCAUCAGGCUUGGUUUAGACCAAUCAGGAUUCACCUCUAGGGUGAGAGAAGCCGCUUGAGAGUCCCUUGAACAGCAAGGAGGUCAAACCAAUCAAUCCUAAAGGAAAUCAACCCUGAACAUUCAUUGGAAGGACUGAUGCUGAAGUUCCAAUACUUUGGCCACUUGAUGCAAAGAGGCCAACUCAUUGGAAAAGACCCUGAUGCUGGGAGAGAUGAAGGCAGGAGGAGAAGAUGACAGAGGAUGAGAUGGUUAGAGAACAUCACCAACUCAAUGGACAUGAAUUUGAGCAAAUUCUUGGAGAUAGUGAAGGACAGGGAAGCCUGGAGUGCUGCAGUCCAUGGGGUCACAAAGAGUCAGACACGAAUUAGCGACUGAACAACAACUGGGUCUGGACAUACCACAGUGCCCAAACAGCCAGUUCUCUCUGCAGCCCUUCAUCUGUGUAGUGGGGACAAGUCAUACCCACCACCUGUGUUGCUCAUGAGGAU